GACGUAGGGCGCGAGCGUUGUCCGGAUUUAUUGGGCGUAAAGAGCUCGUAGGCGGCUUGUUACGUCGGCUGUGAAAACCCGCAGCUUAACUGUGGGCUUGCAGCCGAUACGGGCAGGCUUGAGUUCGGUAGGGGAGACUGGAAUUCCUGGUGUAGCGGUGAAAUGCGUAGAUAUCGGGAGGAACACCAGUGGCGAAGGCGACUUCCUGGCCUGUUCUUGACGCUGAGGCGCGAAAGCUAGGGGAGCAAACGGG
rnacentral:rRNA from 1 species